UACAGAGGUCUCAAGCGUUGUUCGGAUUCAUUGGGCGUAAAGGGUGUGUAGGGUGGCGCGCUAAGUCGGGUGUGAAAUUUCGGAGCUUAACUCCGAAACUGCAUUCGAUACUGGCGUGCUUGAGGACUGGAGAGGAGACUGGAAUUACGGUGUAGCAGUGAAAUGCGUAGAUAUCGUAAGGAAGACCAGUGGCGAAGGCGGGUCUCUGGGACGGUACUGACGCUGAGACGCGAAAGCGUGGGGAGCGAACAGG
rnacentral:rRNA from 1 species